UACGGGGGGGGCAAGCGUUGUUCGGAAUUACUGGGCGUAAAGGGCUCGUAGGCGGCCAACUAAGUCGGACGUGAAAUCCCCAGGCUCAACGGGGAACUGCGUCUGAUACUGGAUGGCUUGAAUCCGGGAGAGGGAUGCAGAAUUCCAGGUGUAGCGGUGAAAUGCGUAGAUAUCUGGAGGAAUACCGGUGGCGAAGGCGGCAUCCUGGACCGGCAUUGACGCUGAGGAGCGAAAGCUAGGGGAGCAAACGGG
rnacentral:rRNA from 1 species